AGUCCAAGCCCCAGGACUGGCAAAAAAAAAAAAAAGAAAAAAAGAAAAGCACACAAUUCAUAAGUAUAGGACAAGUUUCAAUAUGCACUAAGUUAUUAAGUGAUCAAGACAAAAUA